rnacentral:rRNA from 1 species
CCCCAAAAGGUGUGCCCUUGUCUCGAAGAAAUCUAAAGUGAGCUCAAACUGUUCCGUAGGUGAACCUGCGGAAGGAUCAUUACCGAGUGCGGGCCCGCUCUGGGCCCAACCUCCCACCCGUGUCUCUUGCGUACUUUGUUGCUUUGGCGGGCCCACUGGGUCACUCCGGUCGCCGGGGAGCGCUAUGCUCCCGGGCCCGUGCCCGCCAGAGCGCCCCUGUGAACCCUGAUGAAGAGAGGCUGUCUGAGUCCCACGAUAAUCGUUAAAACUUUCAACAAUGGAUCUCUUGGUUCCGGCAUCGAUGAAGAACGCAGCGAAAUGCGAUAAGUAAUGUGAAUUGCAGAAUUCCGUGAAUCAUCGAAUCUUUGAACGCACAUUGCGCCCCCUGGCAUUCCGGGGGGCAUGCCUGUCCGAGCGUCAUUUCUGCCCUCAAGCGCGGCUUGUGUGUUGGGCGUGGUCCCCCUGGCUUUGGCGGGGACCUGCCCGAAAGGCAGCGGCGACGUCCCACCUAGUCCUCGAGCGUAUGAAAAUCUGUCACGCGCUCGUGAAAGUCGGGUCAAGGUUGGUCACCAAGUUGUCUAUGAAGAAGGCUCA